CGCUCCUCUUUGCCAAUUUGGCUUUGAUCUGAUGUAGUAUCUGUUCUUUCGCAGGGUGACUCCUCGAAUCCUUGGUCUUACCGGGACCUCCGUCACUAUAUUUUUGAAGUCUGGUCCUGGGCUGCUGGUGCGACUUGUGGUGUCGGCGGCCGGGGGACACUGUGCCCGUCCUAUAGCACUAUCUGGAUGUUGUGCGCGAUUGCUU
rnacentral:snRNA from 1 species